rnacentral:rRNA from 1 species
UGGGGAAUAUUGCGCAAUGGGCGAAAGCCUGACGCAGCGACGCCGCGUGAGGGAUGAAGGUUUUCGGACCGUAAACCUCUGUCAGAAGGGAAGAAACCGCACUGUGCUAAUCAGCAGUGCCUUGACGGUACCUUCAAAGGAAGCACCGGCUAACUCCGUGCCAGCAGCCGCGGUAAUACGGAGGGUGCAAGCGUUAAUCGGAAUUACUGGGCGUAAAGCGCACGUAGGCUGCUUUGUAAGUCAGGGGUGAAAUCCCACGGCUCAACCGUGGAACUGCCUUUGAUACUGCUUAGCUUGAAUCCGGGAGAGGGUGGCGGAAUUCCAGGUGUAGGAGUGAAAUCCGUAGAUAUCUGGAGGAACAUCAGUGGCGAAGGCGGCCACCUGGACCGGUAUUGACGCUGAGGUGCGAAAGCGUGGGGAGCAAACAGG